GACUGAUCUGAAUGCAGUAGUCUCUACAACUAAUUGAUUGCACCAGUUACAGAUUUUUUAUUCUUUCUCCACUCCCACUGCUUCACAUUACUAGCCUGAA
rnacentral:Y_RNA from 1 species